UUGAACUGAACUGUAACUGAGGCGGCUAAUAAAGAACUAAAGAUACGGCAGAGAGUUAACAGUUCUCCAUCAGCAGCUUCCGUUGCUCAGCAGCAGCUGUCAGAGAAAGCCGUUUCCAUAGAGACGAGUUCAGAAACUUCCAAACAGAGUGGGUGCAACUGCAUUUUGUCCGCUUGCAUGAUGAAUUCAGAAACUUCUUUGGUUCUCUCGAGUAACGAUGUUCAACCAGGAAAAUCUGGUGUCAGAACAGGGUACAAAACAGUAGAUGGGCAUAUCUCCCAGAUCCCUGGACUGUCCCCAACCAUCAGCUCUCCAAAUGAGGAGAAGCUCCGAGGAAGAAGAGUCGCAGUGCUGGAGAGCGAUUCUGACUAUGUAAAACUGGCAAAGCAAGGAGGACAUAAAGGGCUUUUGUGUCAUGAGGAAAUAAAUGUAUUUAAACCAAAUGCUUACAAACCUCCAGACUGGUUCUACACCGAAUCAAGAGACCCAAUCCCACUAAGCACCCAGAAAAACAACCCUGGAGCCUAUCUACCACUAGAGGCUCCCUUUGGGACUGACAACAUGACAACCUGGGAGCGAGAUAGUGGCAACAGCAAUGGAAAAGAAAAGAACCCAGAUGCUAAUUGCAACCAGAUGGAGGAGUUGCAGACUUCCAAUCAAUAUGGGAGCAAGUAUAGGAGAAUAAUUAUUCACUUGGUUAGUAGAUAAAAGACAUAAAAGAUCAUUUUGGAAAUACCAGAACAUUUGACAAGAAACCAGCACCUGUUGACAUGACUAAGCUGCUGAGCUUUGGUUAUGCAGAAGACAGCAAACCCGAAUAGUGACUUUUCAAACUGGAAGACUGCCAGAUGUGCAGAAACGGGAUGUACACACUCCAAGAGGAACAGUUGCCAUCUUUUCUUCUGACAUUAAUUUCUAAUGUUUGCUAUGUUCAGCAUCUUUAAAAGUGUAAAAUUGAUUUGAUGAAUUAAGUCUAUAGUGUAUUAUUUAUUUUGCCUGUAAGUGGCGCCUCAUUAGUUACAUCUGUCAACUAAAUAAGGCGCAUUUGUUAGGAAAGUGUUUUUGUUGUUUCAGUGAAAAUGGGUAAAAAUCUCCUAAAAAGUACUAAUAAAGUUUCAAAUAAUUCAA